rnacentral:lncRNA from 1 species
UGCUGUCAUUUCUACAUGGCCAGGUUAACCAGUCACCCCAAGGGCAUCCAGUCGGUAUAGAAGGCAGAGACUAGAAACCUGCUGAAGUUAAGAUUCCUGGAAUCACCAGGCAAAGAUAGAUGGAUAGACACAUACAUCACAACAGUACAUGAAAGAAACGUGUCGCAAGUUGGGUUUCUUGGGGAACAGACUCCAAGAUGGAGAGUAGUUUUCAGGAGUCUUGUUAGUGCCCUUGGGAUCAAUCCCUGUGGAAGGGAGGGGACGGCAACAGGACUGGGCAGAUGGGGAAGCUGGGCCGAGAUGCAGUGUCAACAAAGACCUCAGCCAACCCCAUGGGAAGCCCGGAUGCUGGGAUGGUCCUUCAGUGUUGUCCCAGUGGGAGUCAGGGGACUGUCCCCUUAUACUCUGCAUUGGCCAGUCGUUGGAUUGCUCUCCCCUGAAAGGUGAGGUGGCUCUUCAGCUGAGGCAAUUUCUGAAGGGGCCUGCUAGCUGAGGGGGCUCUGCCAGCAGGAUGCCCGGCAGCUGGGGGAAAGUCUUUUGUCUUGAAGGGGCACCAGGACAUGCAACAGAGCUUCCACUAUAAAAUUCUUCAGUUUGCUUUUCCAACACAGCGGUAACUCAAUGAAUGAACCUAGAGAACCGGAGUUCUAUUAGGACAGAAUGUUUUGUUUUUUGUUUUUUUUUAAGAUUUUAUUUGUUUCCGUUUUCUCCCCAAAGCCCCCUGGUACAUAGUUGUAUAUUCUUAGUUGUGGGUCCUUCUAGUUGUGGCAUGUGGGAUGCUGCCUCAGCGUGGUUUGAUGAGCAGUGCCAUGUCUGCACCCAGGAUUCGAACCAACGAAACACUGGGCCGCCUGUAGUGGAGCGCGCGAACUUAACCACUCGGCCACGGGGCCAGCCCCUAGGACAGAAUGUUUUAUUUGAAAGAAACCGCCAUGACUCAGGAGAAGCAGCGAUGGCGGACACCCAGUGGCAACGGUGGUUUUCUACAAAUUGAGGACAAGCUCCUCCAUAUCCACAACUUCCACUCACUUGAAGUCCCAUCAUUAGCUCGGCCUGCUGGAGCUCCCACACCAGCCCACAGAAACCACCGUAAGUGUCGCGGGUUGGAGAAGGUCCCGGCACUGGUCAACCUCAGAAGGGAGAAGGGGCAGAAGAAGAGGAGCAGUCUGAGCUACAGCAGCUAUUAUGAACCGAACAAUGGAGGGAGACCAGUUAUUCCAAAGCUGCAUUUAAUGGCUGCUCACCUUGCACAGCUAUCUCUCUUCAAAAUCAACUACAACGCAACAUGCAUUUUCUGAAGAAUUCAAGAGGCAGGCAGAUCAACGCUAUUAAACAGCAUCAUUUUGAAGUCUAGUGGCAGACAUUAAGAAUCCUGGACCAUCUGUACUGUUAUCCUGUUUCUUAGAGUUCUUGGCCAGUUGCACUUUUAACUAUAUAUUUAAAAAUGCAG